rnacentral:rRNA from 1 species
AUUGAACGCUGGCGGCAUGCCUAACACAUGCAAGUCGAACGGCAGCACGGGAGCUUGCUCCUGGUGGCGAGUGGCGGACGGGUGAGUAAUGCAUAGGAAUCUGCCCAGUAGCGGGGGACAACUUGGGGAAACUCAAGCUAAUACCGCAUGCGCCCUACGGGGGAAANCGGGGGACCUUCGGGCCUCGCACUAUUGGAUGAGCCUAUGUCAGAUUAGCUUGUUGGUGGGUAACGGCCUACCAAGGCGACGAUCUGUAGCUGGUCUGAGAGGACGAUCAGCCACACUGGGACUGAGACACGGCCCAGACUCCUACGGGAGGCAGCAGUGGGGAAUAUUGCACAAUGGGCGAAAGCCUGAUGCAGCAAUGCCGCGUGUGUGAAGAAGGCCUGCGGGUUGUAAAGCACUUUCAGUAGGAGGAAACAGUAGCCGGUUAAUAUCC